rnacentral:rRNA from 1 species
UUGAACGCUGGCGGCAGGCCUAACACAUGCAAGUCGAGCGGCAGCGCGGGGCAACCUGGCGGCGAGCGGCGAACGGGUGAGUAACGCGUAGGAAUCUACCCAGUAGCGGGGGAUAGCCCGGGGAAACUCGGAUUAAUACCGCAUACGCCCUAAGGGGGAAAGCAGGGGAUCUUCGGACCUUGCACUAUUGGAAGAGCCUGCGUUGGAUUAGCUAGUUGGUAGGGUACAGGCCUACCAAGGCGAAGAUCCAUAGCUGGUCUGAGAGGAUGAUCAGCCACACCGGAACUGAGACACGGUCCGGACUCCUACGGGAGGCAGCAGUGGGGAAUAUUGGACAAUGGGGGCAACCCUGAUCCAGCCAUGCCGCGUGUGUGAAGAAGGCCUUCGGGUUGUAAAGCACUUUAAGUGGGGAGAAAGGCUCGGCAGCUAAUAUCUGCCGGGAUUGAUGCUACCCACAGAAUAAGCACCGGCUAACUCUGUGCCAGCCGCCGCCGUAA